UGGGGGAUAUUGCACAAUGGGCGAAAGCCUGAUGCAGCGACGCCGCGUGGGGGAUGAAGGCCUUCGGGUUGUAAACUUCUUUUGCUCUGAACAAGGCAUGCCUUUGGGGUGUGUUGAGUGUAGGGGUUGAUUAGCGCCGGCUAACUACGUGCCAGUAGCCGCGGUAAUACGUAGGGCGCGAGCGUUGUCCGGAAUUAUUGGGCGUAAAGGGCUUGUAGGUGGCUGGUUGCGUCUGUCGUGAAAGCUCAUGGCUUAACUGUGGGUUUGCGGUGGGUACGGUCUGGAUUGAGUGCAGUAGGGGAGGCUGGAAUUCCUGGUGUAGCGGUGGAAUGCGCAGAUAUCAGGAGGAAUACCGGUGACGAGGGCGGGUCUCUGGGCUGUUACUGACGCUGAGGGGCGAAAGCGUGGGGAGCGAACAGG
rnacentral:rRNA from 1 species